UACGUAGGCAGCAAGCGUUGUUCGGAGUUACUGGGCGUAAAGGGUGUGUAAGCGGCCCCCUAAGUUUGGUGUGAAAUCUCCCGGCUUAACCGGGAGGGUGCGCCGAAGACUGGAGGGCUAGAGUGCGGGAUGGGAGAGUGGAAUUCCUGGUGUAGCGGUGAAAUGCGUAGAUAUCAGGAGGAGCACCUGUGGUGUAGACGGCUCUCUGGACCGCAACUGACGCUGAGACACGAAAGCGUGGGUAGCAAACAGG
rnacentral:rRNA from 1 species